rnacentral:rRNA from 1 species
GAUGAACGCUGGCGGCGUGCCUAAUACAUGCAAGUCGAGCGAACGGACGAGAAGCUUGCUUCUCUGAUGUUAGCGGCGGACGGGUGAGUAACACGUGGAUAACCUACCUAUAAGACUGGGAUAACUUCGGGAAACCGGAGCUAAUACCGGAUAAUAUUUUGAACCGCAUGGUUCAAAAGUGAAAGACGGUCUUGCUGUCACUUAUAGAUGGAUCCGCGCUGCAUUAGCUAGUUGGUAAGGUAACGGCUUACCAAGGCAACGAUGCAUAGCCGACCUGAGAGGGGGGUCGGGGGGGCGGGAGGUGGGGCGGGGGGCGGGGGGGUGGGGGAGGCGGGGGGGGGGGGGGGUGGGGGAGGGGGGGGGGGGUGGGGGGGGGGGGGGGCGGGGGUGAGGAGGGUCUUCGGAUCGUAAAACUCUGUUAUUAGGGAAGAACAUAUGUGUAAGUAACUGUGCACAUCUUGACGGUACCUAAUCAGAAAGCCACGGCUAACUACGUG